rnacentral:rRNA from 1 species
UACGGGGGGGGCAAGCGUUGUUCGGAAUUACUGGGCGUAAAGGGCUCGUAGGCGGCCAACUAAGUCAGACGUGAAAUCCCUCGGCUUAACCGGGGAACUGCGUCUGAUACUGGAUGGCUUGAGUGUGGGAGAGGGAUGCGGAAUUCCAGGUGUAGCGGUGAAAUGCGUAGAUAUCAAGAGGAACACCUGAGGUGAAGACGGGUUGCUGGGCCAACACUGACGCUGAGGCGCGAAAGCCAGGGGAGCAAACGGG